rnacentral:rRNA from 1 species
GACGAACGCUGGCGGCGUGCUUAACACAUGCAAGUCGAACGAAGUGGCGAAGGGGUGAGUAACGCGUAAGCAACCUGCCAGUCAGAGGGGGACAACAGUUGGGAACGACUGCUAAUACCGCAUACUUAAGGCGGGGAUUGCGUCUGAUUAGGUAGUUGGAGGGGGCACGGCCCACAAAGGCGAUGAUCGGUAGCCGGCCUGAGCGGAUGAACGGCCCCAUUGGGCCUGAGACACGGCCCAGACUCCUACGGGAGGCAGCAGUGGGGAGUCUGCCGCAAUGGACGAAAGUCGGACGGAGCAACGCCGCGUGAGUGAUGACGGCCUUCGGGUUGUAAAGCUCUGUUAAUCGGGACGCGGUACCGGAAUAGAAAGCCACGGCUAACUACGUGCCAGCAGCCGCGGUAAUAC